rnacentral:rRNA from 1 species
GGCAUGGCCGUCGGUCAGUUCGUACUGUGAAGCAUCCUGUUAAGUCAGGCAACGAGCGAGACCCACGCCCACAGUUGCCAGCGAUCCCUCCGGGGAGGCGGGUACUCUGUGGGGACCGCCGCUGCUAAAGCGGAGGAAGGAAUGGGCAACGGUAGGUCAGUAUGCCCCGAAUCCCCCGGGCUACACGCGGGCUACAAUGGUCGGCACAAUGGGUACCGACCCCGAGAGGGGUAGGCAAUCUCCUAAAGCCGAUCGUAGUUCGGAUUGAGGGCUGAAACUCGCCCUCAUGAAGCUGGAAUCCGUAGUAAUCGCGUUUCAACAGAACGCGGUGAAUACGUCCCUGCUCCUU